rnacentral:misc_RNA from 1 species
AAGUCGUAACAAGGUUUCCGUAGGUGAACCUGCGGAAGGAUCAUUAACACGUUAUCCACGUAUCUACCUCUUGCGAACUUUUUACUGUUCAAGAGUCGGCAGACCAGCGUAGAUGAUGGAGGUAGAUGUUACUAUGUCCAGUGGUCGAAAGCCCUGGUUCUACCUGCCUACCUGACUUGCCCUGCCCCCGCCGUCUUAAAUGUGGUGUAGACGCUGGGGUGUGUGUGGGGGGUUGGAUAUUCUGGUUCAUAUGACUCGAAUCAUAGUAGUUUUUUAAUCUUAUUCACCCUUUUUUUAUCUAAUUUGUUGAAUUGUGAUGGUCUGAAGGUAACACUUCGUGACUCACGUUAAUAAAACACUAUACAACUCUUAGCAACGGAUAUCUCGGUUCU